rnacentral:rRNA from 1 species
GAAUUGACGGGGACCCGCACAAGUAGCGGAGCAUGUGGUUUAAUUCGAAGCAACGCGAAGAACCUUACCUAAGCUUGACAUCCCAAUGACAUCUCCUUAAUCGGAGAGUUCCCUUCGGGGACAUUGGUGACAGGUGGUGCAUGGUGGUCGUCAGCUCGUGUCGUGAGAUGUUGGGUUAAGUCCCGCAACGAGCGCAACCCUUGUCUUUAGUUGCCAUCAUUAAGUUGGGCACUCUAGAGAGACUGCCAGGGAUAACCUGGAGGAAGGUGGGGAUGACGUCAAAUCAUCAUGCCCCUUAUGCUUAGGGC